AUUGAACGCUGGCGGCAUGCCUUACACAUGCAAGUCGAACGGUAACAGGUCUUCGGAUGCUGACGAGUGGCGAACGGGUGAGUAAUACAUCGGAACGUGCCCGAUCGUGGGGGAUAACGAGGCGAAAGCUUUGCUAAUACCGCAUACGAUCUACGGAUGAAAGCGGGGGAUCUUCGGACCUCGCGCGGACGGAGCGGCCGAUGGCAGAUUAGGUAGUUGGUGGGAUAAAAGCUUACCAAGCCGACGAUCUGUAGCUGGUCUGAGAGGAUGAUCAGCCACACUGGGACUGAGACACGGCCCAGACUCCUACGGGAGGCAGCAGUGGGGAAUUUUGGACAAUGGGCGAAAGCCUGAUCCAGCCAUGCCGCGUGCAAGAUGAAGGCCUUCGGGUUGCAAACUGCUUUUGUACGGAACGAAAAGCCUCUUUCUAAUAAAGAGGGGUCAUGACGGUACCGUAAGAAUAAGCACCGGCUAACUACGUG
rnacentral:rRNA from 1 species